GCUAACGGGGUGGCAGGGGCGGCGGUAAUACAGGGGGGGCAAGGGUUGUUGGGAAUUACUGGGCGUAAAGGGCGCGGAGGCGGCCUGUUAAGUCGGACGUGAAAUCCCCGGGCUCAACCCGGGAACUGCGUCGGAUACUGGCAGGCUUGAAUCCGGGAGAGGGAUGUGGAAUUCCAGGUGUAGCGGUGAAAUGCGUAGAUAUCUGGAGGAACACCGGUGGCGAAGGCGGCAUCCUGGACCGGUAUUGACGCUGAGGCGCGAAAGCCAGGGGAGCAAACGGGAUUAGAUACCCCAGUAGUC
rnacentral:rRNA from 1 species